rnacentral:rRNA from 1 species
AGCGAACGUUAGCGGCGGGCUUAACACAUGCAAGUCGAACGAGAAAGCACCCUUCGGGGUGUAAGUAAAGUGGCGCACGGGUGAGUAACACGUGGGUAACCUACCCUUCGGUGGGGGACAACAGCUCGAAAGGGCUGCUAAUACCGCAUUCGUCGGUGACGGUCUCGACUGUUACCGGGAAAGGUGGCUCCGCAAGGGGCUGCCGCCGAGGGAUGGGCCCGCGGCCCAUCAGCUUGUUGGUGAGGUAACGGCUCACCAAGGCAAAGACGGGUAGCUGGUCUGAGAGGAUGAUCAGCCACACUGGGACUGAGACACGGCCCAGACUCCUACGGGAGGCAGCAGUGGGGAAUAUUGGACAAUGGGCGAAAGCCUGAUCCAGCCACGCCGCGUGUGUGAUGAAGGUCUUCGGAUCGUAAAGCACUGUGGAGAGGGACGAACAAGUAGCGGGUUAAUACCCCGUUGCCCUGACGGUACCUCUUUAGCAAGCACCGGCUAACUCCGUGCCAGCCGCCGCCGUAAUAC